rnacentral:rRNA from 1 species
GACGUAGGGAGCGAGCGUUGUCCGGAUUCAUUGGGCGUAAAGAGCGCGCAGGCGGUUUGGUAAGUCGGAUGUGAAAACCCGGGGCUCAACCCCGGGCGUGCAUCUCGAUACUGCCCGACUAGAGGUAGGUAGGGGAGAUCGGAAUUCCUGGUGUAGCGGUGAAAUGCGCAGAUAUCAGGAGGAACACCGGUGGCGAAGGCGGAUCUCUGGGCCUUACCUGACGCUCAGGCGCGAAAGCUAGGGGAGCGAACAGG